CCCAUUGACAAACCCUGUUGCAAGCCUUUAUUGCCAAAGCCUGCAAAUUCAAUUCAAACAAUAAGUUUACCAUUCCAUUUACGGUAUCUUGGAUAAAAUGUCAAAUAUUGAUGGCCUUGUUGCUUAGUGUGCUAGAUGGUUGUUCCAACAACUAAAAUCAUUCGUACAGUUAUUCAACAGAUGAAGUCUGAUCAAAUGCUAAGACAAUACAAACAGGAUAAAGGAUUUUAAGACUCAUUUCCUCUCUCUCACAUUAUCUUUGCACUGUGCAUUUUUCCCUAAAACUUGAUGAUUUUUUAAUAUCUGAAUUAUCUAAGGUAUUAAUUAUAUGACUUAUUUGAUGGCAAAUUAUGAUUUAUAAACGCUAAUGAGGAAAGCCUUACUGCUUUAGUGUGUGGAUGAGUAGGCCUAGGUUUUGACUUGUCACGCAAACGGUGAGUAUGUUUAAAAUUAAAAUGUAUAUGCAUGAACUAAUGUCAAACCUUGUCCGCAAGAGGAUCAAAUG
rnacentral:misc_RNA from 1 species